rnacentral:tRNA from 1 species
GCCGCAGUAGCUCAGUCGGUAGAGCGCGAAAAAACAGGUCUUGGCAAAGACCUUAACAGCAAUCCCAAUUACCUUAGGAGGGCGUUGUCGCGGGUUCGAUUCCCGUCUCGGCG